rnacentral:rRNA from 1 species
AGAGUUUGAUCCUGGCUCAGAAUGAACGCUGGCGGCGUGCUUUACACAUGCAAGUCGAGCGAGGCGGGGAGCAAUCCCCAGUCGAGCGGCGAACGGGUGAGUAACGCGUGGAUGACCUGCCCUUUAGUGGGGAAUAACCCGGGGAAACUCGGGCUAAUACCGCAUAAGACCGAGAGGUGAAAGCGGGGUCGCAAGAUCUCGUGCUGAAGGAGGGGUCCGCGUUCGAUUAGCUAGUUGGUAGGGUAAUGGCCUACCAAGGCGACGAUCGAUAGCCGGCCUGAGAGGGUGAUCGGCCACACUGGAACUGAGACACGGUCCACACUCCUACGGGAGGCAGCAGUGGGGAUUUUUGCGCAGUGGGCUAACGCCUGACGCACCACCGCCGCGUGGAGGAUGAAGGUCUUUGGAUUGUAAACUCCUGUCAGCAAGAAAAAAGCGACCUGACCUAAUACGUCAGGGAGUUGAUUGCACCUGCAAAGGAAGCCCCGGCUAACUCU